rnacentral:rRNA from 1 species
AUACGUAGGUGACAAGCGUUAUCCGGAUUUACUGGGCGUAAAGGGCGCGUAGGCGGUCUUGCAAGUCAGCAGUGAAAUUCCUGAGCUCAACUCGGGCGCUGCUUCUGAAACUGCAGGACUUGAGUGCUGGAGGGGAUGGCGGAAUUCCUAGUGUAGCGGUGAAAUGCGCAGAUAUUAGGAAGAACACCGGUGGCGAAGGCGGCUAUCUGGACAGUAACUGACGCUGAGGCGCGAAAGCGUGGGGAGCAAACAGGAUUGGAUUCCCUGGUAGUCCACGCCGUAAACGAUGAAUACUAGGUGUAGGGGGUAUCGACUCCCUCUGUGCCGCAGUUAACGCAAUAAGUAUUCCGCCUGGGGAGUACGGCCGCAAGGUUGAAACUCAAAUGAAUUGGCGGGG